GCCAGAGUGGUGUAGUGGUAUGAGUGUUGGACUAGGACUCCAGGAGACCAGAAUUCGAAUCCCUGCAUGGCCA